ACGGAGAGUUUGAUCCUGGCUCAGAACGAACGUUGGCGGCGUGGAUUAGGCAUGCAAGUCGAACGCGAAAGUGCCCUUCGGGGUGCGAGUAGAGUGGCGAACGGGUGAGUAACGCGUGGGGAACGUGCCUGGUAGUGGGGAAUAACCUUCCUAACGGAGGGCUAAUACCGCAUGUGAAGGUCGAGUCACCUGGCUUGAUCUUGAAAGGUGGCCUCUGUUUCAAGCUGCCGCUACCAGAUCGUCCCGCGUCCCAUUAGCUUGUUGGUGAGGUAACGGCUCACCAAGGCGACGAUGGGUAGCCGGCCUGAGAGGGUGUCCGGCCACACUGGGACUGAGAUACGGCCCAGACUCCUACGGGAGGCAGCAGUCGAGAGGCAUCGGCAAUGGGGGAAACCCUGACCGUGCGACGCCGCGUGGGUGAUGAAGGCUUUCGGGUCGUAAAACCCUGUCAAUUGGGGCGAAUGGCGGUGAACCAAUACUUCACCGUUUGACGGUACCAAUAGAGGAAGCUCCGGCUAACUCCGUGCCAGCAGCCGCGGUAAUACGGGGGGAGCGAACGUUGUUCGGAUUCACUGGGCGUAAAGGGGGUGUAGGCGGUCCAGUAAGUGAGAAGUGAAAUCCUUCGGCUCAACCGAAGACUUGCUUUUCAUACUGCUGGGCUAGAGUCCGGGAGGGGAGACGGGAAUUCCUGGUGUAGCGGUGAAAUGCGCAGAUAUCAGGAGGAACACCGGUGGCGAAGGCGCGUCUCUGGACCGGUACUGACGCUGAGACCCGAAAGCGUGGGGAGCAAACAGGAUUAGAUACCCUGGUAGUCCACGCCGUAAACGAUGGGCACUAGGUGUGGGAGGUAUCGACCCCUUCCGUGCCGCAGUUAACGCAUUAAGUGCCCCGCCUGGGGAGUACGGCCGCAAGGCUGAAACUCAAAGGAAUUGACGGGGGCCCGCACAAGCGGUGGAGCAUGUGGUUUAAUUCGAUGCAACGCGAAGAACCUUACCGGGGUUUGACAUGCACGAGACAGGUGUAGAAAUACACCCUCCCUUCGGGGUUCGUGUGCAGGUGCUGCAUGGCUGUCGUCAGCUCGUGUCGUGAGAUGUUGGGUUAAGUCCCGCAACGAGCGCAACCCUCGUCCUUAGUUGCCAGCGGAUAAUGCCGGGCACUCUAAGGAGACUGCCGGUGGUAAGCCGGAGGAAGGUGGGGAUGACGUCAAGUCCUCAUGGCCCUUACGCCCCGGGCUACACACGUGCUACAAUGGCUGGCACAAUGGGUUGCAAGAUCGCAAGAUGGAGCCAAUCCCAAAAAACCAGUCUCAGUUCGGAUUGCAGUCUGCAACUCGACUGCAUGAAGUCGGAAUCGCUAGUAAUCGCGGAUCAGCAAGCCGCGGUGAAUACGUUCCCGGGCCUUGUACACACCGCCCGUCAAACCACGAAAGUUGGUAGUACCCGAAGUCCCGCACCCAACCCUCGGGAGGGGAGGGCCGAAGGUAAGACUAGCGAUUGGGGUUAAGUCGUAACAAGGUAGCCGUACCGGAAGGUGCGGCUGGAUCACCUCCUUU
rnacentral:rRNA from 1 species